UACGGGGGGGGCAAGCGUUGUUCGGAGUUACUGGGCGUAAAGGGCUCGUAGGCGGCCAACUAAGUCAUACGUGAAAUCCCUCGGCUUAACCGGGGAACUGCGUCUGAUACUGGAUGGCUUGAGUUCGGGAGAGGGAUGCGGAAUUCCAGGUGUAGCGGUGAAAUGCGUAGAUAUCUGGAGGAACACCGGUGGCGAAGGCGGCAUCCUGGACCGAUACUGACGCUGAGGGGCGAAAGCCAGGGGAGCAAACGGG
rnacentral:rRNA from 1 species